AAGUGGCUACUUAAACAUUCUGAACAUACACCAUUUGCAAUACCUUGGGUUGUCUACCUUUGCAAAUGCUAUGCCAUCAUGGGGGUAAUUCUGGGCUACCAAUCUGGUGAUUUUUAAUGUGAAAAAAUGGAAAUGCAAGUUUUAUAUUACACGCUGUAACUUUUGCAAACACCAUAAAACCUGUACAUAGAAACAUAGAAUGUGACGGCAGAUAAGAACCAUUCGGCCCAUCUAGUCUGCCCAAUAGUACAUGGUGGAUACGGUUAUACUUGAGAGACUUCGCUGAACACAAAUAUUAGUGUUUCCAAACAUUACAACUUAUCACAACAAUUUUAUCAUUGUUGUGAUCGGUUUUACGGUUUUGAAACACUAAUAUUUGUGUUGAGCGAAGUGUCCCGAGUAAAACAGAACCCCCCCGUGUACAGGUUUUAUGGUGUCUUGCAAAGUUACAGAGUUACAUAUAGGGCUUACGAACCAUAUU